rnacentral:tmRNA from 1 species
GGGGGCGUAAGGUUUCGACAGAGCUGGAUCGCGCUAGAGUUGCGAGCCAAGGCGCCGCUGGCCUUGUCAAAAGCGGCAAAAAAACAACUGCAGAAGAUAAUUUUGCAUACGCUGCCUAAUUAGCGCAGCGCGCCGGUCAAAACGGUUUCGUCCUGGUUUGAUUAAGGCGUCGUAAAUGACGAAUAGCGAAGAGGAUCUCUGCUCGGGGCCCUCCAGCGAAAUCAAUCGAGUUGAGCGAGUGGACAGCCUGCCUCCCGGAGAGUCCACCGCCGAGAAAUAGUUGUGGAGGAGACGCUCGUGGAUACUUUGGUAACGACAGUUUUGGAACCGGGUUCAAUUCCCGGCGCCUCCACCA